rnacentral:sRNA from 1 species
GAGCAUCGUGGCCACGACGGUCGGCAGC